GUUGUGGUACAUUGGCUUUUGAAUGUUGUAAAACAGAGAUUAUUUUUGCAGGUUUAUAAAGCCGUCUAUUAAGCCAUGGCUGAGGUGGCAUAAAUCCUGACUUUUUGUUCUUUGGGCAAAAAAACCCAAAACUAAAUGCUUAUUUAUAGAAAGGGCUAUCUGUUAAACAUUGAGUUGUACCAAGAUUACCAAGCAAUUUAGUUGACUUGAGUAUGAUGCACUUGCAUAUUAUGCAAAAUUUUGUUUGCAGUGUUAAAUAUAUAAUGACAUACUAUAUAGAGUCAGU
rnacentral:misc_RNA from 1 species